UAUAGUAGAAGCAGGAACUGUCAU
rnacentral:miRNA from 1 species